GGUGCUGUUGUAGGAUGAAGCCUAAGAGUGAUCCAUCAACAGAGCGCCUGGCGCAAUGAUGACACUCAAGCAGCUGACAAAGCACG
ensembl:snoRNA SNORD71 small nucleolar RNA SNORD71